AUGUGAGGGCCAUCCUGGUGGUGUAGCUAUCUAGGGACCAAUUCGCUAUUCCUAGCUGGGGUCACAGGGAACCAACCAGUCUUCAUGUUGGAAAAAAAUGCAAUUUGGAGUAUCCACAAAACCUCCAGCGCCAAUAUCAAGGAGAUUGUAAAGAAGAUGACCCUGAACUUGGAGUAUUUGAAGGGAUGCAGGAGCUCAGCAGCUGCCAUCACCCUCAGAAGAGAACUGCUGUCGCCUAGGUGCCCCUAACUUGCAGGUUCUCAUAGAAGCAUAUGUCCUCCAAACCACUGUGUAUUCUACACUAAAGCACUUUGAAGAGAAGUGCAGAACUCACCACACACUUCCAAAGACCCCACAGAUUGGAAUAUAGCGGCUCUCCCACCUUGAAUGCCUGCUGUUCCUCAGCCUGUCUCCCUCUCCAGCAUCUGAGUACCUCUGUGUCCUGCCCCCAACCCCCGCUCCUUCAAACUCAGCACUUUGGAAUCUCUCUCUCUCUAUCAGCAAAAGACAUGACACCCCAAUAAUAUUGAUCCAGAUCACUAUGUUUUUUACUGCCCAAUUUUCUCUCCCACCCAACUGAGGUAUUUCUGAGUAGACAUUUUGGGGUUGGAUAUUUUUUGUAUUGUUGUAGUUUGUUUUUAUUUGUUGACCUAGGGUCUCACUGUAGAACCUUAAACUCCUCCUCUUCUACUUCAUCCUCCUCAGUGCUAGGAUGACAAGCAUAAGCCGCUACACUCAGAAACCCAUAACCAAGAGCCGGGUGUGGUAACACGCACCUUUAGUCCUAGCAAAGGCAAGCAGAUCUGUGAGUUUGAGGCCAGCCUGACCUAUAGACUGAGUGAGUUCCAGGACAGCCAGAGAAAGAAACCCUUUCUCAAAAUAUCAAAAAAGUAAGUAAAAAUAGUCAAGUAAAAAAA
rnacentral:lncRNA from 1 species